CGACCCUCUCCAAUGAAUUCAGAUUUUCAAAAAAAAAAAAUGUAUUGGGUUUGAACUGCUACCUUCAUUAGAACCAAGUAAGAUAGGAACUUAUCAGGAUAUCAUCUCAUGUAAUCUUCAAUUAAGACAAAUGUUGGAGUGGCUCUCAGCAAUAAUGGAAUUCCCUUAAAUUCAAAGCCACAUCUCUUUACACAUAUGAAGCUUUACUGACUUCAUAGUGGCUCUUGUACAUGUCACAGACACCAUAAGGCCACAGGAAAAGCCAGGCUACUCCGUCAUUCCAAAAUACUCCCUGGAUUUUACCCUAUCACGACCUUCACCUCAUCAGUGCCCGACCUUUCUCUCAUUUCUCACGUGUUUCGACUCUCAGCAUUGACGGUACCUUAGCCUUGGUAGAGAUUUAUAUUUUAUCUGCUUCAUCACUGUGGUUUGCCUUCUGUUGCCCGAAGCUCAUGGCUGGCCGCCACCCUAUGAACAUCAGCUCUCGGGGCCUCAGCCAGGACCUUGCAAUAGCUGAGAAACGACUAUUUAUUCUCCUCUACACUAGCAUUUAGUGAGGACUUUUUUAUGUGGUUGGUCCUAAGGUGAUUAAAUGGCA